rnacentral:miRNA from 1 species
UAUGCUGUUAAUUAGCGAUUGGUU